rnacentral:rRNA from 1 species
CGGUUAAGUUAGAAAGGGCGCACGGUGGAUGCCUUGGCACUAGGAGCCGAUGAAGGACGGGACGAACACCGAUAUGCUUCGGGGAGCUGUAAGCAAGCUUUGAUCCGGAGAUUUCCGAAUGGGGAAACCCACCACUCGUAAUGGAGUGGUAUCCAUAUCUGAAUACAUAGGAUAUGAGAAGGCAGACCCGGGGAACUGAAACAUCUAAGUACCCGGAGGAAGAGAAAGCAAAUGCGAUUCCCUGAGUAGCGGCGAGCGAAACGGGACCAGCCCAAACCAAGAGGCUUGCCUCUUGGGGUUGUAGGACACUCUGUACGGAGUUACAAAGGAACGAGGUAGAUGAAGAGGUCUGGAAAGGCCCGCCAUAGGAGGUAACAGCCCUGUAGUCAAAACUUCGUUCUCUCCUGAGUGGAUCCUGAGUACGGCGGAACACGUGAAAUUCCGUCGGAAUCCGGGAGGACCAUCUCCCAAGGCUAAAUACUCCCUAGUGACCGAUAGUGAACCAGUACCGUGAGGGAAAGGUGAAAAGCACCCCGGAAGGGGAGUGAAAGAGAUCCUGAAACCGUGUGCCUACAAGUAGUCAGAGCCCGUUAAUGGGUGAUGGCGUGCCUUUUGUAGAAUGAACCGGCGAGUUACGAUCCCGUGCAAGGUUAAGCAGAAGAUGCGGAGCCGCAGCGAAAGCGAGUCUGAAUAGGGCGAAUUGAGUACGUGGUCGUAGACCCGAAACCAGGUGAUCUACCCAUGUCCAGGGUGAAGUUCAGGUAACACUGAAUGGAGGCCCGAACCCACGCACGUUGAAAAGUGCGGGGAUGAGGUGUGGGUAGGGGUGAAAUGCCAAUCGAACCUGGAGAUAGCUGGUUCUCUCCGAAAUAGCUUUAGGGCUAGCCUCAAGGUAAGAGUCUCGGAGGUAGAGCACUGAUUGGACUAGGGGCCCCUACCGGGUUACCGAAUUCAGUCAAACUCCGAAUGCCGAUGACUUAUCCUUGGGAGUCAGACUGCGAGUGAUAAGAUCCGUAGUCGAAAGGGAAACAGCCCAGACCGCCAGCUAAGGUCCCAAAGUAUACGUUAAGUGGAAAAGGAUGUGGAGUUGCUUAGACAACCAGGAUGUUGGCUUAGAAGCAGCCACCAUUUAAAGAGUGCGUAAUAGCUCACUGGUCGAGUGACUCUGCGCCGAAAAUGUACCGGGGCUAAACGUAUCACCGAAGCUGCGGACUGUUCUUCGAACAGUGGUAGGAGAGCGUUCUAAGGGCUGUGAAGCAAGACCGGAAGGACUUGUGGAGCGCUUAGAAGUGAGAAUGCCGGUAUGAGUAGCGAAAGAGGGGUGAGAAUCCCCUCCACCGAAUGCCUAAGGUUUCCUGAGGAAGGCUCGUCCGCUCAGGGUUAGUCGGGACCUAAGCCGAGGCCGAAAGGCGUAGGCGAUGGAUAACAGGUUGAUAUUCCUGUACCACCUCCUCACCAUUUGAGCAAUGGGGGACGCAGGAGGAUAGGGUAAGCGCGGUAUUGGAUAUCCGCGUCCAAGCAGUUAGGCUGGGAAAUAGGCAAAUCCGUUUCCCGUGAAGGCUGAGCUGUGAUGGCGAGCGAAUUAUAGUAGCGAAGUUCCUGAUUCCACACUGCCAAGAAAAGCCUCUAGCGAGGUGAGAGGUGCCCGUACCGCAAACCGACACAGGUAGGCGAGGAGAGAAUCCUAAGGUGAUCGAGAGAACUCUCGUUAAGGAACUCGGCAAAAUGACCCCGUAACUUCGGGAGAAGGGGUGCUCUGUUAGGGUGCAAGCCCGAGAGAGCCGCAGUGAAUAGGCCCAGGCGACUGUUUAGCAAAAACACAGGUCUCUGCGAAGCCGUAAGGCGAAGUAUAGGGGCUGACGCCUGCCCGGUGCUGGAAGGUUAAGAGGAGCGCUUAGCGUAAGCGAAGGUGCGAAUUGAAGCCCCAGUAAACGGCGGCCGUAACUAUAACGGUCCUAAGGUAGCGAAAUUCCUUGUCGGGUAAGUUCCGACCCGCACGAAAGGCGCAACGAUCUGGGCACUGUCUCAACGAGAGACUCGGUGAAAUUAUAGUACCUGUGAAGAUGCAGGUUACCCGCGACAGGACGGAAAGACCCCGUGGAGCUUUACUGCAGCCUGAUAUUGAAUGUUGGUACAGCUUGUACAGGAUAGGUAGGAGCCUUGGAAACCGGAGCGCCAGCUUCGGUGGAGGCAUCGGUGGGAUACUACCCUGGCUGUAUUGACCUUCUAACCCGCCGCCCUUAUCGGGCGGGGAGACAGUGUCAGGUGGGCAGUUUGACUGGGGCGGUCGCCUCCUAAAAGGUAACGGAGGCGCCCAAAGGUUCCCUCAGAAUGGUUGGAAAUCAUUCGCAGAGUGUAAAGGCACAAGGGAGCUUGACUGCGAGACCUACAAGUCGAGCAGGGACGAAAGUCGGGCUUAGUGAUCCGGUGGUUCCGCAUGGAAGGGCCAUCGCUCAACGGAUAAAAGCUACCCCGGGGAUAACAGGCUUAUCUCCCCCAAGAGUCCACAUCGACGGGGAGGUUUGGCACCUCGAUGUCGGCUCAUCGCAUCCUGGGGCUGUAGUCGGUCCCAAGGGUUGGGCUGUUCGCCCAUUAAAGCGGUACGCGAGCUGGGUUCAGAACGUCGUGAGACAGUUCGGUCCCUAUCCGUCGCGGGCGCAGGAAAUUUGAGAGGAGCUGUCCUUAGUACGAGAGGACCGGGAUGGACGCACCGCUGGUGUACCAGUUGUUCUGCCAAGGGCAUCGCUGGGUAGCUAUGUGCGGACGGGAUAAGUGCUGAAAGCAUCUAAGCAUGAAGCCCCCUCAAGAUGAGAUUUCCCAUUCCGCAAGGAAGUAAGAUCCCUGAAAGAUGAUCAGGUUGAUAGGUCUGAGGUGGAAGUGUGGCGACACAUGGAGCUGACAGAUACUAAUCGAUCGAGGACUUAACCAAUUU